rnacentral:lncRNA from 1 species
AUCUUCCCGAAUUAGAUUUCUACGUUAGUAAAAUUAAUUGUUAACUACCACCUAAUUCUAGCAAUUGGUGGAGAUCCGACCAUUUGAUCGCGAUGAGAAUUUAGUAUGUGGUUCUAUGAGCAUAAUGUGGACUUUGGGAUGUUAUGGAUCUGAAAUCUGAUGAACGGAUCUUCCGGAUCGAAUUACGUAGGGUUGUCGACCCUACCGUUGACCGAGAGUUGACUUUUGGUCAACAUGUUUCGAAACAUUAUAAAUAUUAAAUCUAGUACCACAUGAUACUAAGUGAAGCCUAGUGGGACCACAUUGGUUUGAGAGUGACUUGAAUAUAUGUGAUAUAGUUAUUACCUUAAUUUCUUAUAUUGGUAUCAAUUGUGAAUAUGAAUUGGUCUUAUAGAUAUGAUUUCUAUUGAAAUGUGAUUUUUAUAUAUUUAGCCAUCCUAUGCUUAUUAAAUAGGAUUUGGCUUGUGCACUGAUGAAGGUUGUGAUAUAUAUGUGUUUAACUAUCUUUUUAAUAAUGUGAUUGAUAAUUAUGAUGAAUAUUAUGACAAUUAUGGGAUUUAAAAAAAUUGUUUGAUAAUAUUUUGGAUAUGAUUGCCAACUGAAUACCUAUUGAACUUGGCAUUACUACCUAGCAUGAGAUGGAGAUGGAAGUCAGGAGAUGAGUUAGGUACUUUAUUAGAUUUUUAGUAGAAAUAGUAAUUAAGGGAAUUCCUUGUGUUGUGCUCCAUAUGACUAGAUGUUGGUUAAUAUGUGGAAUUGAUAGCGUGUAUUGUAUAAUUAUGUAUAAUGUGUGAUGAUGAGAUUACACCAUGUAGUAGUGGUACAUGGAUGGUCCUGCUUGGUAUAUCCUCGAUGGGGGACCAUACGCAUUCUAGAGGUGAUGAUGAUUAAUUGUACUUGGUACAUUUGAUAGGCGAUGAUAUUUAGUUUGGUUCUGUUGAGUGGUCAGGAACCCGAGGUUGUGGGAUUUCGUGGAGUGGUCUAAAAUCUCAUUAUUUGGAGAAGUAGGCUUGGCCUAACUGUGUUACUCUAGUCUUAAUUUUAUAUAUAUUGUGACAAUGGUUUCGAGAAUCCUGUGAAUU